UUUCCAGGCCCUACGGGGCGCAGCAGGCGCGAAACCUUUACACUGUACGAGAGUGCGAUAAGGGGAUCCCAAGUGCCCGCGCCUAGCGUGGGCUUUUCUGAACCGUAAAAUGGUUCAGGAAUAAGGGCUGGGAAAGACCGGUGCCAGCCGCCGCGGUAACACCGGCAGCUCAAGUGAUGGCCGAUAUUAUUGGGCCUAAAGCGUCCGUAGCCUGCCGUACGGGUCCGUCGGGAAAUCCGCCCGCUCAACGGGCGGACGUCCGGCGGAAACCAUACGGCUUGGGACCAGAGGACCCGAGGGGUACGUCGGGGGUAGGAGUGAAAUCCCGAGAUCCUCGACGGACCGCCGGUGGCGAAAGCGCCUCGGGAAGAUGGAUCCCACGGUCAGGGACGAAAGCUUGGGUCUCGAACCGGAUUAGAUACCCGGGUAGUCCAAGCUGUAAACGAUGUUCGCUAGGUGUGGCGUAGGCUACGAGCCUGCGCUGUGCCAAAGGGAAGCCACGAAGCGAACCGCCUGGGAAGUACGUCUGCAAGGAUGAAACUAUAUAGGAAUUGGCGGGGGAGCACUACAACGGGAGGAGCCUGCGGUUUAAUUGGAUUCAACGCCGGG
rnacentral:rRNA from 1 species